AGUGAACGCUGGCGGUAGGCCUAACACAUGCAAGUCGAACGGCAGCACAGUAAGAGCUUGCUCUUACGGGUGGCGAGUGGCGGACGGGUGAGGAAUACAUCGGAAUCUACUUUUUCGUGGGGGAGAACGUAGGGAAACUUACGCUAAUACCGCAUACGACCUACGGGUGAAAGCAGGGGAUCUUCGGACCUUGCGCGAUUGAAUGAGCCGAUGUCGGAUUAGCUAGUUGGCGGGGUAAAGGCCCACCAAGGCGACGAUCCGUAGCUGGUCUGAGAGGAUGAUCAGCCACACUGGAACUGAGACACGGUCCAGACUCCUACGGGAGGCAGCAGUGGGGAAUAUUGGACAAUGGGCGCAAGCCUGAUCCAGCCACACCGCGUGGGUGAAGAAGGCCUUCGGAUUGUAAAGCCCUUUUGUUUGGAAAGAAAAGCAGCAGGUUAAUACCCCGCUGUUCUGACGGUACCCAAAGAAUAAGCACCGGCUAACUUCGUG
rnacentral:rRNA from 1 species